rnacentral:misc_RNA from 1 species
UUGAAAAUUUUGGGGAAGUUCUGUUGCUGGCCUUCAUUUGUUGGCAUGUGCACGCUCUUCUCUAAUCUAUUCAUCCACCUGUGCACUUUUUGUAGGAGUUUCUUUUAGGUUGGCUUAGGUUGACUUGAAGGGAAUUUCCUAUGUCUUAUAAACUCUAUUGUAUGUUUUGAAUGUUUCUUUAUUGGGACUUAAAUGGCCCUUUAAAACUUAUA